CGUGUAGGCGGGGAUGUAAGUCAGAUGUGAAAUUCCAUGGCUCAACUGUGGCGCUGCAUCUGAAACUACAUCUCUUGAGUGCUGGAGAGGAAAGCGGAAUUCCUAGUGUAGCGGUGAAAUGCGUAGAUAUUAGGAGGAACACCAGUGGCGAAGGCGGCUUUCUGGACAGUAACUGACGCUGAGGCGCGAAAGCGUGGGGAGCAAACAGGAUUAGAUACCCUGGUAGUCCACGCUGUAAACGAUGGAUACUAGGUGUAGGAGGUAUCGACCCCUUCUGUGCCGGAGUUAACACAAUAAGUAUCCCACCUGGGGAGUACGGCCGCAAGGUUGAA
rnacentral:rRNA from 1 species